rnacentral:lncRNA from 1 species
AUCCUCCUCAGCUGUAGCUACAUGGCCUUUGGCCUAAUGGCCAUCUACUCUGACAAACCCCAUACGUCGAAGGGAGUGGUCGUUGUAGGUGUCGGUGUUUGACAGUCUACAAACAAUCUCUCCCCCAAAACUCACUCCAGACUCUCUAAAAAUCACUGAAAGAGCCAUACCAUAUGGCAAGGGAGCCUUGGAUCUGUUCAAGGCUUCCCUCAUGGCAUCGAUCAUCAAGAAAGGCAAAUUCAGGAGAGUCUCGAAGACAACAUAGUGCAUCAAGCAAAUAUCCCUACUAGUCAUCAAAUCAUAUAUUCCCACUCUGGGGAAAAAAAUUCUAAACAUCAUGUGGUGGAGCAACCUCAUUUUCACACUUAGAUCUUUGGCUUCAAUUUUCAAAAAAUCUUUUACAUCUUCUCUUCCAAGGAUAG